ensembl:misc_RNA Metazoa_SRP Metazoan signal recognition particle RNA
GCCGGGUGUGGUGGCGGGCGCCUGUCAUCCCAGCUACUCGGGAGGCUGAGGCAGGAGAAUCGCUUGAACCCGGGAGGUGGAGGUUGCAGUGAGCCGAGAUCGCGCCACUGCCCUCCAGCCUGGGCGACAGAGCGAGACUCUGUCUCAA